rnacentral:rRNA from 1 species
AGUCGAGCGGAUGAAGGAGCUUGCUCCUGGAUUCAGCGGCGGACGGGUGAGUAAUGCCUAGGAAUCUGCCUGGUAGUGGGGGACAACGUUUCGAAAGGAACGCUAAUACCGCAUACGUCCUACGGGAGAAAGCAGGGGACCUUCGGGCCUUGCGCUAUCAGAUGAGCCUAGGUCAGAUUAGCUAGUUGGUGAGGUAAUGGCUCACCAAGGCGACGAUCCGUAACUGGUCUGAGAGGAUGAUCAGUCACACUGGAACUGAGACACGGUCCAGACUCCUACGGGAGGCAGCAGUGGGGAAUAUUGGACAAUGGGCGAAAGCCUGAUCCAGCCAUGCCGCGUGUGUGAAGAAGGUCUUCGGAUUGUAAAGCACUUUAAGUUGGGAGGAAGGGUCGUAGAUUAAUACUCUGCAAUUUUGACGUUACCGACAGAAUAAGCACCGGCUAACUCUGUGCCAGCAGCCGCGGUAAUACAGAGGGUGCAAGCGUUAAUCGGAAUUACUGGGCGUAAAGCGCGCGUAGGUGGUUUGUUAAGUUGGAUGUGAAAUCCCCGGGCUCAACCUGGGAACUGCAUCCAAAACUGGCAAGCUAGAGUAUGGUAGAGGGUGGUGGAAUUUCCUGUGUAGCGGUGAAAUGCGUAGAUAUAGGAAGGAACACCAGUGGCGAAAGCGACCACCUGGACUGAUACUGACACUGAGGUGCGAAAGCGUGGGGAGCAAACAGGA